GCAUAUCAAUAAGCGGAGGAAAAGAAACUAACAAGGAUUCCCCUAGUAACUGCGAGUGAAGCGGGAAAAGCUCAAAUUUAAAAUCUGGCAGUCUUUGGCUGUCCGAGUUGUAAUCUGGAGAAGCGUCUUCCGCGCUGGACCGUGUACAAGUCUCCUGGAACGGAGCGUCAUAGAGGGUGAGAAUCCCGUCUUUGACACGGACUACCAGUGCUCUGUGAUGCGCUCUCAAAGAGUCGAGUUGUUUGGGAAUGCAGCUCAAAAUGGGUGGUAAACUCCAUCUAAAGCUAAAUAUUGGCGAGAGACCGAUAGCGAACAAGUACCGUGAGGGAAAGAUGAAAAGCACUUUGGAAAGAGAGUUAAACAGUACGUGAAAUUGCUGAAAGGGAAACGCUUGAAGUCAGUCGCGUUUGCUAGGACUCAGCCUGGUUUCGGCCUGGUGCACUUCCUAGUAAACGGGCCAGCAUCACUUUUGGCUGCGGGAAAAAGGUUAGAGGAAUGUGGCACCCUCGGGUGUGUUAUAGCCUCUAGCUGUAUACCGUGGCUGGGAGUGAGGAACUCAGCACGCCUCUGGCGGGGCUUCGGCCACCUUCGUGCUUAGGAUGCUGGCGUAAUGGCUUUAAACGACCCGUCUUGAAACACGGACC
rnacentral:rRNA from 1 species